GGGGAUAUAGCUCAGUUGGCUAGAGCACCUGCUUUGCAAGCAGGGGGUCCAGAGUUCGAGUCUCUGUAUCUCCACCA
rnacentral:tRNA from 3 species